UGCACAUUGCGAAGACUCUCCCGUUUGAAAGAUUAAGCAGCAGCUCUCUGGUUCAUCGUGACGUCACCCGGGAUGAGACGUCGAUUCGAGGAGAUCAAUACUCAAUAAAAACGAAGGAGCCCUUUUUUUUUUUUUUUUUGGGGGUUGUAAACAGACGACGGUGUCGGUGUCGGUGACUCGGCGGUUACGAGGAAGAGGCGAUACACCACGAGCGUGCGCGCGCGCGGAAAAAACCCCACCAAGAACGAGUUGUGGAUUAUUCCGAGGACAUCGGACUGAAACCAUGAGCUGGGGGUCCGAGCUCUGGGAUCAGUUUGACAACUUGGAGAAGCACACGCAGUGGGGCAUCGAAUUCGUGGAGAAGUACACCAAAUUCGUGAAGGAGAGAUCGGAGAUCGAAACCAACUAUGCCAAACAGAUUAGGAAUUUAUCAAAGAAGUACCAACCGAAGAGGAACUCCAGAGAAGAGGAAGAGAGCAAGUUCACGUUCUGCCGAGCCUUCCUGGUGUCGCUGAACGAGCUGGGCGACUACGCCGGGCAGCACGAGGUCAUCGCCGAGAACCUGACGUCUCAGAUCAUCUGCGAGCUGUCGCGCUACCUGCAGGAGCUCAAGGGCGAGAGGAAAGCGCACUUCCACGAUGGUCGCAAAGCGCAGCAGCAGAUCGAGAGCUCGUGGAAACAGCUGGAAUCGUGUAAACGGAGGUUCGAGAGGGACUGCAAGGAGGCGGACCGAGCGCAGCAGUACUUCGAGAGGAUGGACGCCGACAUCAACGUGACGAAGGCCGACGUGGAGAAGGCGCGACAGCAUGCUCAGUCCAGGCAGCUGAUGGCUUCGGACAGUAAGAGCGACUACUCCUCCUACCUGCAGAAGUUCAACCAGGAGCAGAAUGAGCAUUACUUCACGGUCAUCCCCAACAUAUUCCAGAAACUCCAGGACAUGGAGGAGAAGCGGAUCGAGCGGCUGGGCGUGAGCAUGAGGACGUUUGCGGACGUGGACCGACAGGUGCUGCCCAUCGUGGGCAAAUGUUUAGACGGCAUGACGAAGGCAGCCGAGUCCAUCGAGCCCAAGACUGACUCCCAGCAUGUGGUGGAGUCGUACAAGUCCGGGUUCGAGCCGCCGGGCGACGUGGACUUCGAGGACUACGGCCAGGCCAUGACGAGGACGGCGUCCGACGCCAGCCUGACCACGAACCCCCGAGAGGCCAAGGAGCGGCCGGCGAGGAGCAAGGGCAAGCUGUGGCCCUUUAUCAAGAACAAGAGCAAGCUUAUGUCCCUGAUAGCGUCCCCCCGCCAGCCCCCCCCCGCGCCCCCAGCCUCGGCCCCGCCCUCACCCUCUGCUGUUCCCAACGACCCCCAGUCUCCCAAGCAGCACAAGGAGCCCCUCUCCCACCGCCUCAACGACUUCAUGACCUCCAAGCCCAAAUUGCACUGCCUCCGGAGCCUGAGGCGAGGGCUUUCUCUCAAGCUGAUCACGCUCAAUUCCCACGUCCGGAAUCUGAUGGAGGGCUCUGGACCGGAGGACUUCAGCCACCUGCCUCCGGAGCAGAGGAGGAAGAAGCUUCUGGGCAAGAUGGAGGAGCUGAAUAAGGACAUCCAGAAAGAGAUGGACCAGAGGGACGCGCUGACGAAGAUGAAGGACGUGUACGUGAAGAACCCUCAGAUGGGCGACCCGGCCAGCGUCGACCCGCGGCUGUCGGAGAUCGCCCUGAACGUCGAGAAGCUGCAGUUCGAGGCUCAGAAGUUUGAGGGCUGGCUGGCGGAGGUGGAGGAGAGGAUGCCGUCCAAGAGCGAUACGAACCGUCGAAGUGGACUCUAUGAGACCCAGAACAGCACGCCGCUGAGCAACAACUGCGCUCAGGACCGAGAGAGGCCCUUGAGCAGCCCGGACGGCAGCUACACGGAGGAGCAGAAUUCGGAGACGCAGGUGAAGGCCGCCGUGAACCCCGCGCUGCCGACCUCCAGCACGCCGGAGUUCGACGACGAGUUCGACGACGACGAGAGGCUGCCGACCAUCGGCACCUGCAAGGCCCUGUACCCCUUCGAAGGUCACAACGAGGGCACCAUCUCCGUGGCGGAGGGCGAGCUGCUGUACGUCAUCGAGGAGGACAAAGGCGACGGCUGGACGAGAGUGCGCCGGAACGAGGACGAGGAGGGAUACGUGCCCUCGUCCUACGUCGAGGUCUUUUUGGAAACCAAUGCCAAAGGUGCUAUGACAUACAUUUAACUCCGCAAGCGUGACUUUAUAUUUUUAUUUUUUAUUUCUUCUUUUUUUGUUGUCGCUGUGAAGUCAGAACGUUUCCAUCCACUGCAGGGGGAACAUUGUGGAGAUUAAAGAUUGUUUACCGGGUAGCUCAGAUAAGAGAAUCACUCCACACGCACACACACUUCCUGUCUCUCCCGGAAGGAAGAGCCAAUCAGAUUGGUCCAUUGUGCCUCAUGACAGUUGGCUGAUAGUGUGUGUGUGUGUUGCUGCACACCGUGUAGAUUGUGACACUGGAAACAGGGGGGACAAGAAGUGUGUGUGAAAAGAAGCUUCCAGUUCCUCCCUCCACAUUCGCUGCAGUGCCACCUAGUGGUCACACAGGGAAAACAAGAAAAAGACAAGCUGAGCAUGAUGGGACAAAUCCCCCCCCCCCCCUGCUGACAAUGAUCACAUGUACUUUUCAAAACACACAGAAUGUGAUUUAAAGAAAAUAAAUGUAUAUUGUGUUGUUUUCUCUUUUUGAGGGGGAGGGGGGGUGGGGGGUUAACAGUAUUCCUCUCACACCAACAUGCCCUCGGUCGAAUAUGCGAGUCAGUCUGAUCAGAGAUCAAUAAACUCGCUGGGUGAGCGUGCGCCCCCCUGUGGAGGAACCUCGUGUUGCAGUCACUCGCUGUGCGACCUUAAAAAGGCGGAGCAUGCUCGGUGCGCUUCGGCUGUAAAAUAUGACGACGCAUUGAAAGAUAUUUUUUUAAGAAAAGAAAAAAGUGCAUGCACAUUCACACCCACACGCACACUCACACCCACACUCACACCCACACUCACACCCACACUCACACCCACACUCACACACACACCUUGAAUGUUGCAUGCUGUAGAUUAAUCAUAGCAUUGUUACACCAUGAAAAAGUUGUAAAAGUAAUUAUUAAAGGGGGAUUUUAUUCAAUUAUGUAUCCGUUAGGAUGUUAGGAAGUUAGGAGGUUAGGAGGUUAGGAUGCUAGGAUUUUGUCAUCCGCCUUUUUUUACUCGAUAGUCAUCCUUUGUUUCCAGGCCAGUGAGAAAGGAAUAAAGGACUGAGAGAGAGAGAAACGAUUCCUAAAAGUGAGAGUCUGGCUGAGGAAUGGCAGGGCAGGCAGCCGGAGGAGCUCCACCGCUCAGAGAGAGGAAGACGGCCUAGAGCGGGCUUCCUCCACAGAUUUAAGAGAAAGCCACGACACACACACACACAUGCACACAAGCACGCACAUACACACAAGCACGCACACACACACUUUUUUUAGUUGUCAGCAAAGCUUUGCUUCUUAAUGUAACUAACUCAUGAACGCGGCUGUUGGCUUCCUCGCUCUGAACGCCCCCCUACCCCCCCCCCCCCCAUUGCACACACACUCAUGCACACACACACACACAUGGUGGGGGUGUGGUCAGAGACGGACGCAGACCAGCAGGAGCCUUACGGACUGUAAGCUGUCAGACGCCUUCAUCCGGGUGGCGUGUAUGUGUGUAAGAAGAGAAUCACCCCGGCCACACACACACACACACACACAUCUUGGGCUUGACAUCCAUCACGGCCCCCCACCCCCCCCCACUAAAAUCAGCUCCAUAUUUGUGAGAGGAAGAGGUGAAAGGUUGUGUGUUCGUCUGAGCUGUGUGUGUGUGUGUUUGUAUGUGUGUGUGUCUGUGUAUACAUGUGUGUGUGUGUUUGUAUGUGUGUGUGUCUGUGUAUAUGUGUGUGUGUGUGUUGUGAUUCCCCCCCCCCCCCAUCCUCACAUAUCCAGGACCAGCUGGGGAGGACAGAGAUCAUUCGUCCAUCUUCUUUUUCAUCCUACAUGUCAUGUGACACGGUGUCCGUUCCUCUCUCUGACCACGCCCCCCCCCCCCUCCCCUCCUGAUGGCUCAGGCAAUGCCUUGGCUCCUCUGAGACUCCCCCCCCCUCCCUGCCCACCCUAAACUUUGUGUUGUGUACGAGUCCCGGGGCCGGGGGCCUCUCGGCGUGGUGGUGCGCUGCAUGCUUGCCCUGUCUUUCCUCCUCGACCCUCAGCGGGGGGGGGGGGGUCACAGGGUCACCCCCCCUCUCCCCACCCCCCCUUCGCCUCCAGCCUCUCUGCUAACCCUCAUUGCCUGGUCACAGCGUUUGAAUUAACCUGGAUGCUGCCGUUUGGGUCGGCCCUUGCGGUUCUUUUUUUUGUUAUUUUCAUGAAAGCUUUUUCUUUGGGGUCAGAACUCUCGGUUCCCUGUUUUCAGUUUGACCCCCAAACGUCACAUGAGAGGACGCCAUGUUGUUAUUGUUACAGGCCAUGGGCGUGCAUUUGUUUGACUGUGAGUUCACAUUAGUAUCAGUGUCCAAUUGUUGUUGUUGGUGUUGUUGUUGUUGUUAGUUUACAGUUAAUCAAGUUAGUGGGACUCUCCACUCGGUCCAAACAACAUUCACCCCAAAAAUAAACUUGCGCUCUGAAGAUCUUUUUGACACCUCAUGUUUUAGUGUUUUUUUAGGAUGCUCCACAUAACUCGUCUACUGUGUAUGAGAAAUAAACUGUGAUCCACGACUUCCUGUGAAAGGAUUCAAAUGUGAUUAUCGCAAAUGUUCUGGGGGGAAUUUUUUUAGUUUUUAUAAAUCAUACAAGAGAAAUCAUGACCACUGCCCCCCCCCCCCCCUGCUCAACGGCACAUACGUGAUUUUAACUUUUCUUUUUUUAUAUAUAUAUUAGAUUUGUCUUCUUUUAUUUUGAAGCUGGAAGUCUAUGUUGCUUGCUUACUCUGCCUGAAUGGGUCUAAGCCCCUCCCUCCCCAAAACUACAUGGACGUAUUGAUUAAAUCUGCUGAGUCCAGCUUUAAAAAGUACCCUGUUUGCUAUGUCAUGUUGCCCCCCCCCCCCCCCCCACCAUGACACACCUGAUGACAUCACCGCUUUGAGGGCAGCAGAAGCCCCGGAUUAACCUGCCUGUACAGUGGAAAUGGCACGUUGGAAUUAGAGAGAAUAUAUAUAUAUGAAUAUAUGAAUAAAGUUUAAAAAAAAGGAAAAAAACAUCUAUUUUAACUAUUGAGGAGUCUUAUUAUUUACUUUACCUGCUUUGCAAAACAACAGUAAGACUCCUUCGUUUCCUUUUGGUGAGGUCGACCACAUGGUGUGUUUUCAGCACUUUCUCGUUGGUGUCCCCUCGGCGGCCGCUUUGUGUUCCUGGAGCACCGAAUACUUUGUAUUGUGUGUACCGUGCCAAUUAAAUAUGCCUGGAAAGUCA